CGUUGGAGUUGACGGUUGGCGGUUAGUUCAAGAUGGCGAGUAAUGCCUGGCCCUCGGUCAUUCUCGUCGGCCUCCCUAGCCUCUCCCCUUCCCCAAGGGACCCCCCAGACUCUGUGCAGAGGUAGCAAUGGAGGCACCCCUGGGACUCGAAGAGGAAGCAGCCCCGGACGGAGGCGGCUCUCUGCACAUGCUCAGGAACCACGCCAGCCUUGGCCCUCGUUCCCCCUCCCUCCUGAGGUAAAGAGACGGGCCUUACUCCAGCCAGCAGCCCUGGGACUCGAAGAGGAAGCAGCCCCGGACGGAGGCGGCUCUCUGCACAUGCUCAGGAACCAGGGCAGCCUUGGCCCUCGUUCCCCCUCCCUCCUGAGGUAAAGAGACGGGCCUUACUCCAGCCAGCAGCCCUGGGACUCGAAGAGGAAGCAGCCCCGGACGGAGGCGGCUCUCUGCACAUGCUCAGGAACCACGCCAGCCUUGGCCCUCGUUCCCCCUCCCUCCUGAGGUAAAGAGACGGGCCUUACUCCAGCCAGCAGCCCUGGGACUCGAAGAGGAAGCAGCCCCGGACGGAGGCGGCUCUCUGCACAUGCUCAGGAACCACGCCAGCCUUGGCCCUCGUUCCCCCUCCCUCCUGAGGUAAAGAGACGGGCCUUACUCCAGCCAGCAGCCCUGGGACUCGAAGAGGAAGCAGCCCCGGACGGAGGCGGCUCUCUGCACAUGCUCAGGAACCACGCCAGCCUUGGCCCUCGUUCCCCCUCCCUCCUGAGGCUGUAAAAUGUAGAAUGGAACGAACCUUUUGCCCUUGCUUUCCUUGAAUGAAAUUGCAUUCAGUUUCUGAUGAAGAGCAGUGCAGCCACCUGUCUAGGUCCCAGUUCAUCACUACAGCUCUGCUAUUGAUCGGAAUCCUCACCAUCAAUGAAGAAUGCGGGUGCUCUUCCUCGAGUGUGCACCCAUGCCUCGAGUGUUGGGCUGCUGGUUGCGGUCAUCGGCAUGUCCUUGGGGAUGAACAGAGGCUUGCCACCAAGGAUCUUCACAGCCGUUGCUGGAUGGGGGCUGGAGGUCUUGCAAGUGAGUGCCUUUUCUCUGCCUUAGAAUCAUGGGAGUUGGAAGGGACCCUGAGCAUCAUCUAGUCCAACCCCUGCAAUGCGGGAAUCUCAACUAAAGCACCCAGGACAGGUGGCCAGCCAACCUCUGCUUUCAAACCUCCAAGGAAGGAGAGUCCACCACCUUCCGAGGGAGUUUGUUCUAUUCCCGAAGAGCUCUUACUGUCAGAAAGUUCUUCUUAGGUUUUCAUUGGAAUCUCCUUUCCUGUAACUUGAAGCCAUUGGUUCAUCUCCUACCCUCCACAGCAGGAGAAAGCAAGAUUGGUCCAUCUUCCCUGUGGUGUACCUAGGAGUUCUUCCUUUUAAAAGUACAAAACGAGAGUAUAAAAGAGCUGCGGGUGGAAACAGGUCUCCUGUACUGGAGGCAAUAAAUUGAUUCCGAAUCCUGUUUUGUGUAGUUGGGGAUGCAGAGUGGGAGGUCUUGAUGGCCAGGUGGUCUUUAUGGCCAGGAGCACCCUUCUGUUCCCCUAGCUCCGCUGGAACCCCUUUGGGACAGCUAUGCCUUGGCCAUUGCGCUCCAUGCUCUGGCAACUUCCAGACUGGAUUGCUGCAACACGCUUUACUUGGGGCUGCCCUUGAAGACAGCUCAGCCAGGGAUGAUGGGAGUUGCACUCCCACAACCUCUGGAGGGGCCACCCUUGCAUGAAAGGCUCAUUUGUGAGGGACGUAACUGAGGGGCGGGCAGUACAGGCAAGUGAUGGUCCAGUUCAGGGAUGGGGAAGAUACAGGCAGGAACCUUUUUGUGUGCGUCCAAUGGAUGCACGGUCAUCCCCCCCCCCCACUGCUGACCUGGAAGCGGCCCCAAAAUGAGGCAACACCCAUGGGGGUCAGGAAGGAAACCUCUGCUCAAAAUGGCUAUCACCUGUAGUCGGCAUCCAGCAACAAGAGGGUCUCAGCUUGCCCAUCCCUGGACCAGAUCCUUUUGAAUACUGCCACCAGGUCUACAAAGAACCAUGUGGGCCCCAGUGGUGCUGUCAAAGCAGCAGCUGAGCUCAGUUUCUGCUUCUGGCUUCUGUUGUCGUUUAGUCGUGUCUGACUCUUCGUGACUAGGCUUCUCCUAGAACUGAAUCAAACCAGUUUCCCCCCCC